rnacentral:rRNA from 1 species
UACGAAGGGGCUAGCGUUGUUCGGAUUUACUGGGCGUAAAGCGCACGUAGGCGGAUCGUUAAGUCGGGGGUGAAAUCCUGGAGCUCAACUCCAGAACUGCCUUCGAUACUGGCGAUCUUGAGUCCGGAAGAGGUGAGUGGAACUCCUAGUGUAGAGGUGGAAUUCGUAGAUAUUAGGAAGAACACCAGUGGCGAAGGCGGCUCACUGGUCCGGUACUGACGCUGAGACGCGAAAAGCGUGGGGAGCGAACGAG